ACUCGAGCGGCGAACGGGUGAGUAACACGUGGGUGAUCUGCCCUGCACUCUGGGAUAAGCCUGGGAAACUGGGUCUAAUACCGGAUAGGACCAUGCUUUAGUGUGUGUGGUGGAAAGUUUUUCGGUGUAGGAUGAGCCCGCGGCCUAUCAGCUUGUUGGUGGGGUAAUGGCCUACCAAGGCGGCGACGGGUAGCCGGACUGAGAGGUUGGUCGGCCACAUUGGGACUGAGAUACGGCCCAG
rnacentral:rRNA from 1 species